GGAGUUUGGGCCGUGUCUCAGUCCCAAUGUGGCCGUUCACUCUCUCAAGCCGGCUACUGAUCGUUGCCUUGGUGGGCCGUUACCUCACCAACUAGCUAAUCAGACGCGGGUCCAUCCCAUAGCGCAAAAGCUUUCAAUGUAGAAGCAUGCGGAUCUACAUUACUAUGCGGUAUUAGCAGUCGUUUCCAACUGUUGUCCCCCUCUAUGGGGCAGGUUACCCACGCGUUACUCACCCGUCCGCCACUAAGUCAUCCUCGGGUGUGUCCGUUCGUAGCAAGCUACUCCCUUCCACGGAUGAGGAUGCUUCGUUCGACUUGCAUGUGUUAAGCACGCCGCCAGCGUUCAUC
rnacentral:rRNA from 1 species